rnacentral:rRNA from 1 species
UACGUAGGUGGCGAGCGUUGUCCGGAUUUACUGGGCGUAAAGGGAGCGUAGGCGGACUUUUAAGUGAGAUGUGAAAUACUCGGGCUCAACUUGAGUGCUGCAUUUCAAACUGGAAGUCUAGAGUGCAGGAGAGGAGAAUGGAAUUCCUAGUGUAGCGGUGAAAUGCGUAGAGAUUAGGAAGAACACCAGUGGCGAAGGCGAUUCUCUGGACCGUGACUGACGUUGAGGCUCGAGAGCGUGGGGAGCAAACAGG